rnacentral:rRNA from 1 species
UACGUAGGGUGCGAGCGUUGUCCGGAAUUAUUGGGCGUAAAGGGCUCGUAGGCGGUCUGUCGCGUCUGCUGUGAAAAUCCGGGGCUCAACCCCGGACUUGCAGUGGGUACGGGCAGACUAGAGUGUGGUAGGGGAGACUGGAAUUCCCGGUGUAGCGGUGAAAUGCGCAGAUAUCGGGAGGAACACCAAUGGCGAAGGCAGCUCGCUGGGACGUGACUGACGCUGAGACGCGAAAGCGUGGGGAGCGAACAGG